AUACGAAAAACACGGAUGUCGACAUAAUAUUUUUGUAACCGAAGAUAUAAGAUACAAGCUGUCCAAUUAUAUUUUACCAGUUUUACAUUUAACGAGAACUCAAUAGUGGGUCUCGGCCACAAACUAACAAUUUAGCCAAACAUCGUGGUUGUAGUAUAUAUUAUGUAAUAUAAUAAAUCAAUAUAUUUACUUAGAACCCGAAAAGUUUUUA